GCUCUUCAAGCGAAGGGAAUUCCUAGUAAGCGCAAGUCAUCAGCUUGCGUUGAUUACGUCCCUGCCCUUUGUACACACCGCCCGGUCGCUACUACCGAUUGAAUGGCUUAGUGAGGCUUCCGGAUUGGUUUAGAGAAGGGGGCAACUCCAUCUUGGGAACCGAGAAGCUAGUCAAACUUGGUCAUUUAGAGGAAGUAAAAGUCGUAACAAGGUUUCCGUAGGUGAACCUGCGGAAGGAUCAUUA
rnacentral:rRNA from 1 species